rnacentral:rRNA from 1 species
UACGAAGGGGGCUAGCGUUGUUCGGAAUUAUCGUGGGCGUAAAGCGCAUCGUAGGCGGACUAAUUUAAGUCAGGGGUGAAAUCCCGGGGCUCAACCCCGAACUGCCUUUGAUACUGGUAGUCUCGAGUCCGGAAGAGGUGAGUGGAACUGUCGAGUGUAGAGGUGAAAAUUCGUAGAUAUUCGCAAGAACACCAAGUGGCGAAG